AAUUAUUUUGACUUAAUGUCACACUUUGAUUUACUGAUUUACUAAUAUUUAUUUGCAGGUUUAGUUGCUUUUGUCUCCAUGUUGUCCAAGGGUUAUGUCGGCCAUGAUCCUAAUAUUAUCAUGGGUUUAGCAGAGUUGUUUAACUUGCAAACUGGAUUGAAGAUUUUGAAUAAAUUUUUGUGUUCUUAAUAUGGUCACAAGUUUGUACUUGUUUAAAACCCUCAAUCAUUUGAAAAUUAUGGCGCCGACAUGGUAGAUGUCCUAGAAAAAACUGGUAGUAACUCAAUGUAGAUACACAUAGUCGAUGGAGUUACUUGCUAAUAACUGGCAAUGAGACAUAUUUGCUUCAAAUGAUGCCUUUAAAGUUUGAAAAGAUUUUUUCUAAUUCAAAUGUCGACUUUUUGUUACAUGAAAAAAGAUACUUAUUUCAACCCCUCAACUAUAUUGAUACACUUAGUAUGUGGAGUUACUUGUCAAUAGCUGGCGAUGAAACUUUUAAACGUAACGUCUUUAAGGGCUGAGAAGGUAAAAAUUAGAAGUCUGCAGACUGCAACGUAAAUCGAUUUCAACACGUUAUGGCUUCUCGAAUAUAUUUAGUUUCCGAUUGAAAUGAGAAUAAACUGAACUUAUAUAUAAAGUGUUUACAAUUAACUUUUUAAACUAGAAAUACUCCAAAGGAGGUUCUCCAAACGCAAGUUAAGU
rnacentral:lncRNA from 1 species